GUGCUUGCUUCAGCAGCACAUAUACUAAAAUUGGAAGGAUACAGAGAAGAUUAGCAUGACCCCUGCACAAGGAUGACACACAAAUUCGUGAAGCGUUCCAUAUUUAA
rnacentral:snRNA from 1 species